CCCUGGGUGGUGCAAAGAGUUAAAGCACUCAGCUGCUAACUGAAAGGUCGGAGGUUCGAGUCCACCCCAAGGUG
rnacentral:tRNA from 1 species